CACGUAGGGCGCAAGCGUUGUCCGGAAUUAUUGGGCGUAAAGAGCUCGUAGGCGGUCUGUUACGUCUGCUGUGAAAACCCGGGGCUUAACCCUGGGCUUGCAGUGGAUACGGGCAGACUAGAGGCAGGUAGGGGAGAAUGGAAUUCCCGGUGUAGCGGUGAAAUGCGCAGAUAUCGGGAAGAACACCCAUGGCGAAGGCAGCUCUCUGGGACGGUACUGACGCUGAGACGCGAAAGCUAGGGUAGCGAACGGG
rnacentral:rRNA from 1 species